GAGCCUUCGGGCUAGUGGCGGACGGGUGAGUAACGCGUGGGAAUCUGCCCUCAGGAGGGGGAUAACGGCCGGAAACGGCCGCUAAUACCCCAUAUGCCGAGAGGUGAAAUGAAUUUCGCCUGAGGAUGAGCCCGCGUCUGAUUAGCUAGUUGGUGUGGUAAUGGCGCACCAAGGCUUCGAUCAGUAGCUGGUCUGAGAGGAUGAUCAGCCACACUGGGACUGAGACACGGCCCAGACUCCUACGGGAGGCAGCAGUGGGGAAUUUUCCGCAAUGGGCGCAAGCCUGACGGAGCAACGCCGCGUGAGGGACGAAGGCCUCUGGGCUGUAAACCUCUUUUCUCAAGGAAGAAGACAUGACGGUACUUGAGGAAUAAGCCACGGCUAAUUCCGUGCCAGCAGCCGCGGUAAUACGGGAGUGGCAAGCGUUAUCCGGAAUUAUUGGGCGUAAGGCGUCCGCAGGCGGCCCAGCAAGUCUGUUGUUAAAAAGUGGAGCUUAACUCCAUCCAGGCAAUGGAAACUGCUGGGCUAGAGUGUGGUAGGGGCAGAGGGAAUUCCCGGUGUAGCGGUGAAAUGCGUAGAUAUCGGGAAGAACACCAGUGGCGAAGGCGCUCUGCUGGGCCAUAACUGACGCUCAUGGACGAAAGCCAGGGGAGCGAAAGGGAUUAGAUACCCCUGUAGUCCUGGCCGUAAACGAUGAACACUAGGUGUCGGGGGAAUCGACCCCCUCGGUGUCGUAGCCAACGCGUUAAGUGUUCCGCCUGGGGAGUACGCACGCAAGUGUGAAACUCAAAGGAAUUGACGGGGGCCCGCACAAGCGGUGGAGUAUGUGGUUUAAUUCGAUGCAACGCGAAGAACCUUACCAGGGUUUGACAUCCUGCGAAUCCCUUGGAAACUUGGGAGUGCCUUCGGGAGCGCAGUGACAGGUGGUGCAUGGCUGUCGUCAGCUCGUGUCGCGAGGUGUUGGGUUAAGUCCCGCAACGAGCGCAACCCACGUCUUUAGUUGCCAGCAUUCAGUUGGGCACUCUAGAGAGACCGCCGGUGAUAAACCGGAGGAAGGUGUGGAUGACGUCAAGUCAUCAUGCCCCUUACAUCCUGGGCUACACACGUACUACAAUGCUACGGACAAAGGGCAGCAAACUCGCGAGAGCUAGCAAAUCCCAUAAACCGUGGCUCAGUUCAGAUCGUAGGCUGCAACUCGCCUACGUGAAGGAGGAAUCGCUAGUAAUCGCAGGUCAGCAUACUGCGGUGAAUACGUUCCCGGGCCUUGUACACAC
rnacentral:rRNA from 1 species